rnacentral:rRNA from 1 species
GGUGCUUGCGCCUGAUUGACGAUGGAUCACCAGUGAGUGGCGGACGGGUGAGUAACACGUAGGUAACCUGCCCCGGAGCGGGGGAUAACAUUUGGAAACAGAUGCUAAUACCGCAUAACAACAAAAGCCACAUGGCUUUUGUUUGAAAGAUGGCUUUGGCUAUCACUCUGGGAUGGACCUGCGGUGCAUUAGCUAGUUGGUAAGGUAACGGCUUACCAAGGCGAUGAUGCAUAGCCGAGUUGAGAGACUGAUCGGCCACAAUGGAACUGAGACACGGUCCAUACUCCUACGGGAGGCAGCAGUAGGGAAUCUUCCACAAUGGGCGCAAGCCUGAUGGAGCAACACCGCGUGAGUGAAGAAGGGUUUCGGCUCGUAAAGCUCUGUUGUUGGAGAAGAACGUGCGUGAGAGUAACUGUUCACGCAGUGACGGUAUCCAACCAGAAAGUCACGGCUAACUACGUGCCAGCAGCCGCGGUAAUACGUAGGUGGCAAGCGUUAUCCGGAUUUAUUGGGCGUAAAGCGAGCGCAGGCGGUUGCUUAGGUCUGAUGUGAAAGCCUUCGGCUUAACCGAAGAAGUGCAUCGGAAACCGGGCGACUUGAGUGCAGAAGAGGACAGUGGAACUCCAUGUGUAGCGGUGGAAUGCGUAGAUAUAUGGAAGAACACCAGUGGCGAAGGCGGCUGUCUGGUCUGCAACUGACGCCGAGGCUCGAAAGCAUGGGUAGCGAACAGGAUUAGAUACCCUGGUAGUCCAUGCCGUAAACGAUGAGUGCUAGGUGUUGGAGGGUUUCCGCCCUUCAGUGCCGGAGCUAACGCAUUAAGCACUCCGCCUGGGGGAGUACGACCGCAAGG